CUUCACCAUCAGUUUCUCAAACACAUUCUUUUCAGCUUCUUAAAAUAAAAAAUGGCGUCGACUUCAUCUGCUAAAACAAUUUACGACGUUUUUCUUAGUUUUAGAGGAGCUGAUACCCGCGACAAUUUCACUAGCCACCUUCGCCAGAAACUGUUAGACAACAAAAUCGAAACUUUCAUAGACGAUAGGAUCCAUAGAGGAGAAAAAAUUGAAUCGUCGCUCAUGAAAGUCAUCCAAGAGUCUCAGCUUUCAGUAAUUGUUUUCUCGAAACGCUAUGCAACUUCUCCGUGGUGUUUGGAUGAACUCGUCAAAAUUAUUGAGUGCAGAGAACUGACGGGUCGGACUGUUCUGCCCAUUUUCUACAAUGUUGAUCCAUCUCAUGUUCAACACCAGACUGGAAUAUUCGGAGACGCCUUUGAGGAGCUUGAAGCAGAGCAUAGUCAUAGUAUGGCUAAAUGGAGAAAAGCGUUGACGGAGGCCGCCACUCUUUCAGGUUGGGAUUCACAAAAUUACAGGCCGGAUUCCAAAUUAGUUGAAGUGGUUGUUAAAGACAUUAUCAACAAAAUUUCUCCUGCCUCCUAUAGUAUUUGCAAUGAUUUGGUUGGGAUUGACUCGCACAUUUGGCAGAUUCUACCAUUACUCUGCAUAGAGUCGCUAGAUGUUCGUGUUCUUGGGCUUUGGGGAAUGGGUGGUAUAGGGAAAACAACCAUUGCGGAAGCCCUUGUUAGUCAAAUGUCUAACCAAUAUGAUGGGUGUUGCAUUCUAAGCAAUGUUAGGGAAGAGUCAUCAAAAAGUGGAUUAAUUCAUCUUAGAAAAUGUUUGUUUUCAAAGAUUUUGGGUGAUGAUAUUUUGAGUAUAGAAAUGUCUCAUGUGCUUCCGACUUCUGUUGUAAAUAGACUUAGAAGAAAGAAGGUCAUUGUUGUUCUUGAUGAUGUAAGUGACUCUGAACAAUUAGAGGUUCUAGCUGGAAAUCGUAGUUGGUUUUGUCCAGGAAGCAGAGUUAUUGUGACAAGUAGAGAUAAACAAGUACUUCUAAAUAUGGCUGAUAGUAUAUACGAGGUUAAAGGAUUAGAUGACAUUGAUGCGCAUCGACUGCUGAUUUUGAAGGCUUUCAAAGAUGAGCACCCUCCAGAGAAUUAUACAAAUUUGUUAGCAAGAGCUCUCAAUUACUCUAAAGGUGUUCCGUUAGCUCUUAAAGUGUUGGGUUCCCAUCUAUGCAAAAGGUCGCCAAGAGAGUGGGAAUUUGUAUUGGACAAACUGAAACAAUCUCCUGACUUGAAAAUUCAGAAAAUCCUAGAGGUAAGUUAUGAUGAACUAGAUAAUGAGGCGAAGAACAUAUUUCUUGACAUAGCUUGCUUCUUUAAGGGUUCAAGGAGAUAUUGGGUGGAAGAUAUACUAAAUGGCUGUGGUUUCAGUUCAAGCUGGGGAAUAAUGUGCUUGAUAGAUAAGUGUCUUUUAACUAUUGGAUCCUGCAAUACGUUGGAUAUGCACGAUUUAAUACAGGAAAUGGGUCGACAUAUUGCCCAAAGAGAAGGAAGUAGAUUGGAGAAUUCUAAGGUCAUCUGUCAAAUGUUAGCAAAUACAAAGGGGAAGGAAUCAGUACAAGGCAUAUGUUUGGACUUGUCAAAAACCGAUAAGAUUUUCUUGCAUCCAAAAUCCUUCUCACGGAUGCCAAACUUAAGGUUGCUCAAGUUUUAUAGACAUAGACAAAGGGAACAAAAGCCUGUCUUCAUGCUUGAAUCUGGUCAAUCAGAGUAUCUUAAGUGUCUCCCUAGCAUGCUAAGUCUUAUCCACUGGGAAGAAUAUCCUUACAAGUCUUUGCCUUCAAAAAGUUUCAUGGAGAAUCUUGUUGAACUUAACAUGCCAAACAGCAAUAUCACACACCUUUGGGAUGGAGAUAAGUGUCCUCGAAAUUUAAAGAAGUUGGAGCUUUUCGGGUGCCGGCAACUAAUGAGACUCCCUGAUCUCUCUUCAGCUACAAGAUUGUAUAAAAUAGACCUUUUUUUAUGUGAAAGUUUGGGUGAGAUUGACUCAUCCAUAAAGCUCCUUUAUAAUCUUACCCAUCUCUAUCUACAUGGGUGCAAGAAGCUGAAGACUCUUCCAGAGAUUCCGCCAAACAUACAACAGUUUGAUAUAAGCAACUCUGGAGUGGAAGAGUGGUCCUCAUCAAUUCAAUUUCUUGACAAUCUUGUGUACAUAAAUAUGUAUUCUUGCAUAAAUAUUACAAAUCUUCCAAUCAAGCUCCGGUUGAGUUGUGUUUCCAAUGAAGAUACCUCACACCUUAAUCUCAGCGGCUGCCAAAAUCUUCAUAAGCUGCCAGAGAUAAAAGGAAACAUUAAAAAGUUGGAUUUAAGUAUGACCGCAAUAGAAGAAUUGCCAUCUUCGAUUGGAUAUUCCUCACCAUCACUUGUUUCUUUAUUUAUGUUUGACUGUAAAAAUCUCAAGACACUCCCAGAUAGCAUUUGCAAGUUGAAAUACCUUCAAGUUCUUGACCUCAGAGGCUGCUCAAUAUUAUCCAAAUUGCCUCCUUUAAAUGGUUUGAGCUCUUUAAAAGAUCUCGAUCUCGGUGGCUGCUCAAAACUUGAGGAAUUGCCUCUUCUAUAUGGUUUGGAUUCUUUAGAGAAGCUAAGUCUUGAUAGGACUUUACUUGUAGAGAUCCCCAAUGACAUUGUCUCUUUAUUAUCGUUAGAGAAAUUGAGUCUAAAAAACUGCAAGAGACUACAAAGUUUGCCUAAGCUUCCGCAGCAGCUAAGCCAACUCCAACUUGAAAAUUGUACAUCUUUGGGAACUGCAGAAGUAUCUUAUCAUAUUGUAACCGCAGUUUUACCUUCCCAUCACUGGUUCAAUUAUUGUAAUUGUGUGAACUUGGAUGACGAUGCUCUUUCCAAUAUUCUUGCAGAUGCAUGGUUGAUCUUGAAAGAAUUAUCCAUUGCUUUUAAGGAUGCUAGGAAGCACUCCAUGUUUUCUUAUGAAGCUUCUCGGAAGCACUUCGAGUUUUUUUAUGAAGCUUGUAUUCCAGGAAGUGAAAUACCAGAUUGGUACAGCUAUCAAAGCCAAGGAUCUUUAAUAGCAACUAAGUUCCCUCCUUUUAGCUUUACCACUUUGUUCCUUGGUUUUGCCUUUUCUUUUGUUCUUGAGAUCUGUCUCUUCCAAUUGAACUCUCUCUCUUCCAACUGGCUCUAUUUUAGAUGUGAUUGCCACUUCAAAAAUGCUAAUGGCAAAGAACAUUCGCACUAUAGUAAUUGCAAGAAACGUUAUGCUGUGACCGAAUCAGAACAUGUAUUCCUUUGGUAUGACUUAAAUUGGGAUUCUAAGAAAAACAAAUGGCUCAUAGAAAAUGGUUUCAGUGUCAACAACGCUUCUUUUAAGUUCCGUGUUUUUAGUGGAUGGGGACUCAAUAGGAAAGAAUUAAAGGUGAAAACGUGUGGGGUACACCUGAUAUACGAAGAUGUGCAGGAAAAAUGGAAUAGAAGCAGAGUAACCAACAAAAAGAGACGCAUUAGAAGCAAUGAAGAGGAACCACUCCCUAAAAGAAUGAAAGAUGAUUCAGAAGAUGUUAUGGAAUCAGAAGGGACAGAUGAAGACGAAGAUGAAGAAGAUGCAGAUGAGGAAGAACUUGAUUUGGAAUCAGAAACGAGCUAUAAAGACGAAGAUGAAGAUGAAAAUGAAGAUAAAGAUGCAGUAGAUGAAUGGAAAAAGAAAGUUCGGUCGGAUGAGCUAGAUUUUGAUUCUGAAUUUGAAUUUGGUUCUGAAUUUGAAUUUGAUUAUGAAUUUGAAGGGAUAGAUGAAGAUGAAAAUAAAUAAGGAGAUGAAAAUGAGUAGGACGAAGAAGGAGGAGGAGGAGAUGAAUUUGAUUCUGUACGUUAAUAAUCCGUUGCUUCGCAAAAAACAUAUCAAGGUCUGCUGCCGCAUACAUUGGACGGAAAAACAGCCAUCUUCAUCAAAAACUGGUGGAUAAAAAUAUCCAAACUUUCAUAGACAAUAGGCUUGAUAGAGGUGAAGAGAUUGAAUCAUCCCUU